UGCCUUGAUCUCUUGACAGAAUCUUCA
rnacentral:piRNA from 1 species